GGAAGAUUUACAUGUUUGGAAUGCCUUUUUAUGCAACUUUAAUGGAUCCAUGAUUUGGCAAAGUGAUUUUGUAUCCAUUUGGGAUUUGGAUAUUUUCACGGAUGCAGCUGGGUCUCAAGGCUUUGGUAUAUACUUUCAUGGUAGAUGGGCAGCUGCUGGUUGUCCCCAGUCAUGGGUUGAGAAUGGUUGGACAAGAAUGAUUACUCUUUUGGAGCUAUUUCCGAUAGUCGUAGCCCUGGAUGUUUGGGGCUCUGAACAAGCUAACAGGAGGAUUACUUUUCAUUGUGACAACUUACGGGUGGUUUGGAUAAUCAAUUCUCUUAGGGCAAAAUGUAUCCUGGUGAUCAAGUUAUUGAG